AAUGGUGACGUGGCAGUGAAAAAAAAAAAAAAAAAAAAAAACAAAAACAGGCAAAAGGAGGGAAAUGUUUAGAAAGCACGAAACGUGCUUCGGAAGAUUGCUUCAGCUCCAUACAGUGUCGACGAGGAUUGCGACCGGCCUCCUCUGCGACCGGUUCCUCUCCGACAGCCUCCUCCUCGUACAUUUUGGUCUCAGCAACUGAAUCCCAGCCAGCAUUCCGAUUUCAAAUAUGGAGAAAGGGAAGGAGCAUGCAUCUUCUAGUACACCUCCUACCGCAGAGCAUCCAACAAAUCCAUUAACCCAGGCGAUAGAGAGCCAAUUGUUUCCCGAUUUGUCAAACUAUAUGCAUGGUUGUAAUCCACCAAUUCCACAUGCAUGGUUACCGCCAUUUGUAGCGCUUCCAGAUGCGAACCCAAU